UCAUAACUGCAUAAUCAUUAAUCAAAAUAGAAGUUAAUAUAUGUCAAAGCAGUUACAUAAUCAAACACCACAAAUCAAAAUGCAGUCACAACUGCAAUUCAUUGUCUUAAAUAUAAGGGUACUAAAUAGGGAUAAAGUGCAUUGCAUUGUCUAUCACCCAACAAAACAAAUGUCUACAUUGCAUUACCAACAAAAAUCUACCAAAACAAGUUAGAUUGCAUUAGAGCUCUCUAGGCUCAAAUGUGCAGCCUUAGACCUAGUCUCCAUUUGUUUUCUUCCCCUCAUCUCUUCAAGUUGGCU
rnacentral:lncRNA from 1 species